rnacentral:rRNA from 1 species
GUGCAGCAGGCGAGAAACCUCCGCAAUGCGGGAAACCGCGACGGGGGACCCCGAGUGCCGUGGCAACGCCACGGCUUUUCCGGAGUGUAAAAAGCUCCGGGAAUAAGGGCUGGGCAAGGCCGGUGGCAGCCGCCGCGGUAAUACCGGCGGCCCGAGUGGUGGCCGCUAUUAUUGGGCCUAAAGCGUCCGUAGCCGGGCCCGUAAGUCCCUGGCGAAAUCCCACGGCUCAACCGUGGGGCUUGCUGGGGAUACUGCGGGUCUUGGGACCGGGAGAGGCGGGGGGUACCCCUGGGGUAGGGGUGAAAUCCUAUAAUCCCAGGGGGACCGCCAGUGGCGAAGGCGCCCCGCUGGAACGGGUCCGACGGUGAGGGACGAAGGCCAGGGGAGCAAACCGGAUUAGAUACCCCGGUAGU